rnacentral:rRNA from 1 species
GGCUGUAGUAGGUCCCCAGGGUUGGGCUGUUCGCCCAUUAAAGGGGUACGCGAGCUGGGUUCAGAACGUCGUGAGACAGUUCGGUCCCUAUCCGUCGCAGGCGUAGGAAAUUUGAGAAGACCUGUCCGUAGUACGAGAGGACCGGGAUGGACGUACCUCUGGUGUACCAGUUGUCCUGCCAAGGGCAUGGCUGGGUAGCUAUGUACGGAAUGGAUAAG